rnacentral:rRNA from 1 species
UACGAAGGGGGCUAGCGUUGCUCGGAAUCAUUGGGCGUAAAGCGCACGUAGGCGGCUUUGCAAGUCGGAUGUGAAAUCCCUCGGCUCAACCAAGGAAGUGCAUCCGAAACUGCAGAGCUUGAGUACCAAAGAGGAUCGCGGAAUUCCCGGUGUAGAGGUGAAAUUCGUAGAUAUCGGGAGGAACACCAGUGGCGAAGGCGGUUAGCUGGCCUGUAACUGACACUGAGGCGCGAAGGCUAGGGGAGCGAACAGG